rnacentral:rRNA from 1 species
UACGGAGGGUGCGAGCGUUAAUCGGAAUUACUGGACGUAAAGCGCACGCAGGCGGUUUGUUAAGCUAGAUGUGAAAGCCCCGGGCUCAACCUGGGAUGGUCAUUUAGAACUGGCAGACUAGAGUCUUGGAGAGGGGAGUGGAAUUCCAGGUGUAGCGGUGAAAUGCGUAGAUAUCUGGAGGAACAUCAGUGGCGAAGGCGACUCCCUGGCCAAAGACUGACGCUCAUGUGCGAAAGUGUGGGUAGCGAACAGG